rnacentral:rRNA from 1 species
UCAAGCUACUAAGGGCAUACGGCGGAUGCCUAGGCGCCAUCAGCCGAUGAAGGACGCGGUAAGCUGCGAAAAGCUACGGGGAACUGCAAGCAAGUAUUGAUCCGUAGAUGUCCGAAUGGGGAAACCCACCUGCCGUCAUGGGCAGGUAUCCGAAAGGAAGGGAACCCGGGGAACUGAAACAUCUAAGUACCCGGAGGAAGAGAAAUCAAACGAGAUGCCCACAGUAGCGGCGAGCGAAGAGGGCAGAGGGCAAACCGGGGAGCUACGGCUCUCCGGGGUUGAGGACUGCAUUUAGUCUUAAUGGUCUAUCCGAACUACCUGGAAAGGUAGGCAACACAGUGUAAAAGCCACGUAGGUUAAAGACCAGAGAGAUGAGCAGUAUCCAGAGUACCACGAGGCACGAGGAAUCUUGUGGGAAGCCGGGGGGACCACCCUCCAACCCUAAACACUGAAUGGCGACCGAUAGCGCAUAGUACCGUGAGGGAAAGGUGAAAAGAACCCCGGGAGGGGAGUGAAAGAGAACCUGAAACCGUAUGUCUACAAGCAGUCGGAGCGAAAGCGACGGCGUGCCUAUUGAAGAAUGAACCAACGAGUUACGUGCACUAGCGAGGUUAAGUGGAAGACACGGAGCCGAAGCGAAAGCGAGUCUUAAGAGGGCGGAUAGUUAGUGUACGUAGACCCGAAACCGCAGUGAUCUACCCAUGUCCAGGUUGAAGCGCAGGUAAAAUUGCGUGGAGGACCGAACCUGUGAGCGUUGAAAAGCUUUAGGAUGAGAUGUGGGUAGAGGUGAAAUUCCAAUCGAACGCGGAGAUAGCUGGUUCUCCCCGAAAUAGCUUUAGGGCUAGCCUCAAGUAGUAAGUAUAGGCGGUAGAGCACUGAUCGGGCUAGGGGCCAUAAAGGUUACCGAACCCUGUCAAACUCCGAAUGGUUAUACUGUAGAGCUUGGGAGUCAGACUACGAGUGAUAAGAUCCGUGGUCAAAAGGGAAACAGCCCAGACCACCAGCUAAGGUCCCCAAUGUCGUACUAAGUGGAAAAGGAUGUGGGGUCUCUAAAACAACCAGGAUGUUGGCUUAGAAGCAGCCACCAUUUAAAGAGUGCGUAAUAGCUCACUGGUCGAGAGACCCUGCGCCGAAGAUUACCGGGGCUAAAGUACGAAACCGAAGCUGUGGCUACGACGUAAGUCGUGGGGUAGGGGAGCGUUCUGUGAGGGUUGAAGUCGUUCUGUAAGGAAAGGUGGACUUCACAGAAGUGAGAAUGUUGGUAUGAGUAGCGAAAAGAAUGGUGAGAAUCCAUUCCACCGAAAGCAUAAGGAUUCCUGGGCAACGAUCGUCGUCCCAGGGUAAGUCGGGACCUAAUCCGAGGCAUGGAGCGUAGGAGAUGGACAACUGGCAGAUAUUCCAGUACCGGUAAUGAUUGUUUGAGCGAUGGAGUGACACAGGAGGGCAGGCAGGCAGGAGAUUGGUUGUUCCUGUACAAGCGUGUAGGAUGGGUUGCAGGCAAAUCCGCAACCUGUGAGUCUGAGGCGUGAUGUGGAGGUUCCGGAAACGGAACUGAAGCUGCUGACCCCACACUGUCGAGAAAAGCUUCUAGUUAGAGAAUUACCGCCCGUACCGUAAACCGACACAGGUAUGCGGGGAGAGAAUCCUAAGGUGCGCGGGAGAACCCUCGUUAAGGAACUCGGCAAAAUGUACCCGUAACUUCGGGAUAAGGGUAGCCGCUGUUGUGAAGUCUGAACAGACGGAGCAUGAGGCGGUCGCAGAGAAGAGGCCCAAGCGACUGUUUACCACAAACACAGGUGCCUGCUAAAGAGAAAUCUGACGUAUAGGUGCUGACACCUGCCCAGUGCCGGAAGGUUAAGGAAGGAUGUCCGGAGCAAUCCAAAGCAUUCGACCGAAGCCCCGGUGAACGGCGGCCGUAACUAUAACGGUCCUAAGGUAGCGAAAUUCCUUGUCGGGUAAGUUCCGACCCGCACGAAAGGUGU